rnacentral:rRNA from 1 species
AUGCCCUUUGGACUGUGCAAUGCUCCAGCCAUGUUCCAAUGUCUGAUGAACACCAUCUUCGGGCGCCACGUGCGUAAGUUCAUAAUCAUUUUUCUUGAUGACAUAUUGGUUUUCAGUGAGGAGCUGCAGGAGCAUGAAGAGCAUCUACGAGUUACCUUGGACCUCCUCCGCGAGCAUCAGCUGUUCGCCAAGGCCUCCAAGUGCUCGUUUGCACAAACUAGCAUUGAGUACCUGGGCCAUGUCAUCUCAAAGGACGGCGUCGCUACGGAUCCCAGCAAGACCAGUGCGAUGAACGCCUGGCCCGUUCCAACAAACCAAACCGAGCUGCGCGGUUUCCUCGACCUAACCGGCUACUACCGCAAAUUCGUUCCACACUACGGAAUCAUCGCCAAGCCCCUGACACAACUGCUCACCAAGAAAGGAUUCGAGUGGAACGAGAAGGCCCAGGACGCAUUCGUCAUGCUCAAGAAGGCGAUGGUGAGCACACCCGUGGUCGCCCUUCCGGACUGCGCGCGGCCAUUCAUGAUUGAGACUGAUGCCUGCGACACGGGCGUGGGCGCGGUGCUCAUGCAAGACGGCCACCCGUGGCAUACCUCAGCAAAGCCUUGGGCGUGCGCAAUCAGAAGCUAUCGACGUACGAAAAGGAAUUCUUGGCGGUGA